GGAUAAAAUAAAAAGUCCUGGGCACCCAAGCGCAUGAUCCUGGUGUAUGCGUGCUUUGAAGAACAGCAGAAGUCCAGUAGAAGUUGGACUUCGCAUACAAAUGUGCAAGAAACGCAGGAGAAAGAAAAUGGAAUCAGUACAGACCGUUCCUGAUUUAUGGUGGUUCAACUUACAACUACAUCAAUGAAUGACUUGAGACGUUCAACACCUUAUUAUAAAGCACGCUGUGUGUUAGAUGACUGUACCCAACCGUAUGCUAAUCUAAAUAAGCCCUGGCCCCGAGAUGAGCAAUGUCGCAGCAGUUAGAGCUCACCAACCAUCAGACACCGCCCAACGGAACCCCAUUCCAGCAGCCACCACUACAGCUUUGAUUAGGCCAGAGACUGAUUUCAGUAACUUUCUCCUAAUUAAAAGACCCCCAAGCAUGGACUGGUUCCAGCUGCUUUACAGAGGCUGAGCACUUGAGUGCCUCUGUGUCCUGAAAAGAACAUUUGAUGUAUAUGGCCCAACUGUAACUCAUUUAAAUGUUGGGUUUACACCCCAAGGUGAACUUGGGUCAUAUGUAACAGGCAUGUUUGUGCAUUAUGCAUGUGCCAGCCCCCUUCAUGAAUAUUCAUAGCUGCUCCUAUAAUCUGUUGAAUAUGCAUGCUUGGCCAAUCCAUUCAGCAUGGACCCCUGUUCCAUUCUCCUCUCCCUCGCAGGUGACUGCCUCCCAGGCUCCAGGCUGGGCAAUGCUUCCCAGCCUGUUGGGAUGGCCACCUUGCAGCCUGUAACCCUUUGGAAGGUAGUUUCCUUUCUAA
ensembl:lncRNA novel transcript